CGAAAGCACCACCAGCGACAAAGAGAGAGCGCAACGAGCAGUGGAGGAGCCACCACCACCGCCAUGAGCUACGAAGCACAGCCACCGAGGUCAAUGCACGCUCGCCAUUGGCCGCUCAAUGCCGUGGUUGGGCUUCGUCGCCUCUUCAUCACCGGUGAGUAGCCUUUAGUUGAGUUCGUCGUUUACACCUAGACGUGUAGAACCUGUCCGUUCGUGUGUUGGAGUACUGGAUUGGCCCAGCACCUUGCUCCGGUGAGCAUCACUGACGCGGCCAUGUUGCCCGCCGUGUUUAUAGUCCGGACGAAGAAGGGGAAAACAUGUAUGUCCGAUCUGCAACUGACUGAUCUGGGGUUGUCCGUUCGUGGGGCAGAUCGGGGUUGUCGAUUGGGUGAUGGACGAUGUAGAACAUAUCAGAAGCGUAUUACUUCAUUGAUACCUUGUGGGUCGUCGGAUGAGGAACCGAUGGUCAUCGGGUCACGCAAGUAAUACGAUCGAGCAAAUUUGUAAAGAGUCCCCGAUGUUUUCGUGAACUAACCCGCAUUCCAAACAUAGUUAAAAGAAAUUUAAUUCAGGUGCUCAGUUCUUGCAAAAUAGACCUGAACUUUUAAAAUAGGCAUUGCCAUCCAGAGAAUCCAGGAAAUCAUAAAUAAAUCUAGAAAAAUGAUUUUUAAGUAUAAAAAUAAUUUCCUAAACUUUGGGAAAUCUUAUCUCCUAUGUUUUUACUCUAUUUUAGUCUGUUCAAGCUGUAUUACAAUAAUAUUAAUAUUGCCUACACCUUACUAACCUUAUUUUAUCAUAUAACAUGUUUUCCAAGAAUAAGUAACUAAUUUGUUUAACCUAUGUUUAUUGGAUUAAGUUGUCUAAGUCUAAGUUAAUGUUGUAUUUUAAUUUAGAUCAUAUAUAAUUUGACUAAAAUAUGAUUUAGAUAUAACCUAGAUUAAAAGUUGAAUAAACUUAGUUAUAUUUUUAUCUCAUGAUUUAUAUUGAUCAACAUAGAACAUAGUUUCCAUAGUUAAUCACAGAGAUCUUCUGAAAACCAAAUCUUAGCAACUAUAACUUCAAUUUUAGUGGUUCUCAAACCUACAGUCUUGUAGCAAUGUGUAGAAUACUAAUAUGUGGUUUGUUUCCAUCUUUGGUGUAAUGUUACCAUAUCCCAUUAUUUGCUUGUCUAUAUGUAUUGCUACGUGUAGAAGCGAGGUGGCCAGGAAUCUGGAGCCUAACUUUUGGGGCAGCAUCUGGACAACAAGGUUAUCGCAAGUAUAAGACAAGUUGUGUCCUUGAUCGCAUUUUUUUACCUAAUAAUGUUCAUGAUAAUCGUCGUGACAUGAUUAGGUUAAAUUGAUGGGACCUAAUAGGUUACCUAGUUUUGUUUACCCUACACCUUGCAUAUAAAUGAAUUAUUGGAUAGUCUUGCUAUUGCUCUACAUGGUUUUAGGAUUAAUGCUAUAUAUGAAUUAUGAUCAUAUGCCAUAUUAUUAUUGUCAAUGGAUUCUUUAUUGUUCAUGAUAAGAUUAUUUGGUUAAUUGGAACAUGGAGAACCACCCGUGAAAAUAGUGGUACCACAAGGGUGGAAUGGGACGCCCUUGGCCAAGUAAUUUGGAAACCUAGGGAGAGAUUACCUUACUCGAAAGGGGCAAGCGAGGAGUGUGUGGCUGCAGAGUAUAGGGAGGUUCUUGGGUCGAACUGACUGUAAUAGCUUUUCGGAUGAGGGAUUCCUAUGCUUCCUUCUUCUUGAUACUGUAGCAGGUUUUCUCAAACUAGUGGAACUUUGGAAAGGCCUCGUAGUGCUAUCCUGCCUUGUCUCCUUGGUAUAGAUGAAUGAGAUUCGAGACCCCUUGGCAAAUGGGUAAUACGGCUUGUGGGUAAAGAUGUGCAACCUUUGCAGAGUGUAAAAUUGAUAUAUCAGUCGUGCUCACGGUCAAGAGUGGCUCGGACACUCACAUGAUUAACUUACAGAAUUAAAUUUAAUCUAUCAUGCAUUGCAUUGUGGGAAUUAUUAAUUGUGAUCUCUUAUUUAACUGGGUUGGUAUCUACUUAUACUCAGUAAUUGCUAAUAAAUUUUUGACCAACUUAUUUAAAAGCGAUGCUCAACCUUAACAAUUUUCUUUGGUAAGCUUUACACUACAUAUGAGCCCCUACCGUAAGUGAGCUCAUGCAUAUUAUUCCCCACACUUGCUGAGCAAUGAAUGUAUGUGAGCUCACCAUUGCUAUAAUCACACCAGGUCAAGAACAAGUACCGCCAAGAUGAGGAGCAUGAAGGAUGCUACGAUGAGUUCGGGAGGUCUAGUCCGAUGUCUCCCAAUCAACUAUGGUUGCAGAGGAUCAUUGUUGUCAUAUAAUGUAUAUUUAUGUAGCUGUUUUGUACAAAACUUCUAUUAUAUAAUAAAGAUGUAACAUUGAUUUAUGUACCAUGAGUAGUCAUAUGUGUGAGACUUGAAC
rnacentral:lncRNA from 1 species